rnacentral:rRNA from 1 species
CAGUCGAACGGUAACAUUGGGUGCUUGCACCAGAUGACGAGUGGCGCACGGGUGCGUAACGCGUAUGCAAUCUACCUUUUACUGAAGAAUAGCCCAGAGAAAUUUGGAAUAAUCCUUCAUAAUAUCAUUUAUCAGCAUUGAUUUAUGAUUAAAGCUCCGGCGGUAAAAGAUGAGCAUGCGUCCUAUUAGUUUGUUGGUGAGGUAACGGCUCACCAAGACUACGAUAGGUAGGGGCCCUGAGAGGGGGAUCCCCCACACUGGUACUGAGACACGGACCAGACUCCUACGGGAGGCAGCAGUGAGGAAUAUUGGACAAUGGAGGCAACUCUGAUCCAGCCAUGCCGCGUGCAGGAUGACUGCCCUAUGGGUUGUAAACUGCUUUUAUAUAGGAAGAAACACUCCCACGUGUGGGGGCUUGACGGUACUAUAUGAAUAAGGAUCGGCUAACUCCGUGCCAGCAGCCGCGGUAAUACGGAGAAUCCAAGCGUUAUCCGGAAUCAUUGGGUUUAAAGGGUCCGCAGGCGGCCUGUUAAGUCAGAGGUGAAAGCCAACAGCUCAACUGUUGAACUGCCUUUGAUACUGAUAGGCUUGAGUUAUUGUGAAGUGGUUAGAAUGUGUGGUGUAGCGGUGAAAUGCUUAGAUAUCACACAGAAUACCCACUGCGAAGGCAGAUCACUAACAAUAUACUGACGCUCAUGGACGAGAGCGUGGGGAGCGAACGGGAUUAGAUACCCCGGUAGUCCACGCCGUAAACGAUGGAUACUAACUGUUCGACCUUCGGGUUGAGUGGUCAAGCGAAAGUGAUAAGUAUCCCACCUGGGGAGUACGCUCGCAAGAGUGAAACUCAAAGGAAUUGACGG